CCUCCAACUUCGACGGGGUCUUUCUCUUCCAACUCGUCACCGCCUCCGACCAAGCCCAGGGUCAACGACGCUGCGCUCCACCUGCGAUGACCUUCAGCCCCACCUGCUCUCUCCGACGCUGCUCUCCGAGUUCUUUCAGUCUUGCUCGUUUCUCUUCACAACCUCAGCUUCAAUCUAUUCCCCAAUUUCACUACCUUAGUUCUCGAUUUACUUACAAGGGUUGUGGAUUGUGCUAAUGUGGUUGAGAUUCUAAAUAAUCUCGUAGUGAUUAUCUUUUCAAACCUUUUCUCAUUGGAGAUUAUAGCAUUGUCCAGUCUGGCCUUCUCAUGAGAUCACAAUUAUUACAAUUACGAUGUGUGUCGCCUCUACCUCGUCAGACUCUGCCCCCACGAGCUUUUCCAAUUAACGAAAAUGGAUAUGGGACUGUGCCUGAAGGGUCACUCUCUACAACUCAGAGAAGAAUACAAAUAAGCUAGGAAACAAGGGACUGAUAACUAUGAUAGAGACCUGGAGGAUGUUAUAGAUAGGCUCAUUGUUGAAUGUGAUAGUUAAAUCUCCAGAGCCCUUAAGCGCAUUGAGGAUGCUAUUGCUAUUUAUGUUUCUGAAAUUACUCAGAAAAAAAAAGUGAAAGAAGCUGAUGAGUUUAGUAAGAAACAAGACAAUGGGUCUGGAGAAGAACUGUGCAUUCUGCAAAUAGUGCAAUAAGUUACAGGCUCCGGAGAUAAUCGAGUUAUCAAAGCAGAUUAAAGAGAAGCUUGAAGAGGCUGAUAGAUUGGGUAACUCUCACUAUUGUAUCACAUCUCAGUAGCCAAAUCAAGGGGAGUCUAUGAUACCUUUUGUCUUCUCAUACAAUUCUCUCAACCAUUGGCCUAGGAGCUUGAUAAACUGACCUCCUUGCAGCAGUUGCGACUUGAAGGCACAUUGCCUGAAGGACCAAUUUUCUGCCAUGAAGGAUGAUUUAAAGAACACGUAGCAUGUAGCAACAGCUAACUGAGAGAGCAUGUUUGAAUAUAUUGCCUUAACAAUUACAUGGAGUAGCUAUUUCUAUUGUGAACCUUGUAGAU